rnacentral:rRNA from 1 species
UACGGGGGGGGCAAGCGUUGUUCGGAAUUACUGGGCGUAAAGGGUUCGUAGGUGGCCUGCUAAGUCACACGUGAAAUCCCUCAGCUUAACUGGGGAACUGCGUGUGAGACUGGCGGGCUUGAGUGCAGGAGAGGAACGCGGAAUUCCAGGUGUAGCGGUGAAAUGCGUAGAUAUCUGGAGGAACACCGGUGGCGAAGGCGGCGUUCUGGACUGCUAAUGACACUGAGGAACGAAAGCCAGGGGAGCAAACGGC